rnacentral:rRNA from 1 species
AUGCGGGGGCGAACGCUUAAGUCGGAUUUGCUUAUUUUAGGUCCAAAAAUAUAUUCUGACGCAGCUUUCAGAAGUAGGAAAAUUCCAGGUUUAUUGCAAGGAGAGGUUGCUACAGGAGUGGGCGUCUAUAGUUCUUUGCCUCUUAAUCAGCUAGAAAUCAAUGUGCAAAUUCAAGCUUUAGUUCCUCCUACUUCUACUCCUCUGCAUGCAGAAGCAUUAGCUCUUUCUUUUGCUGCUCAAGUGGCUCAAAAGCUCAAUAUUUUUCAGCCAACCUUUCUUAUGGAUUGUCUCUCUUUAGUGCUUGUCACUGCUUCUAGUAAGAUAAGGGAAUCUACCACCCCUUCGAGCAUUAGGAAGUCUUUGGAUAAUUUCUUCAAGUGUACUACUAAUUUACAUCCACAUGUGUUUCAUAUCUCUAGAGAAGUUAAUGGAAUAGCUCAUAAUCUUGCGCAACAUGUCUUUCAUUCGAAUGAUGAAUCUCAAAUCUGUUGUUUUCCUUCUGCUCAUAGGCAUACCUCCUGUCCUAUGGUGUCUCUUCUUUCUAAUUUCAGGUGCAGGAAUUUAGGAUCCAUGCUAUACAUUGCUACUAAGCAUGUUUGGAUGAAUGUAGGGUGUUUGCCAAGCUCUUGUGAAUCAGCAGGCUGUUGA